UACAGAGGUCCCGAGCGUUGUUCGGAUUCAUUGGGCGUAAAGGGUGCGUAGGCGGCGGGGUAAGUUUGAUGUGAAAUUCCGGGGCUCAACCCUGGCAUGGCAUUGAAUACUACCUUGCUAGAGUACCGGAGAGGAAACUGGAAUUUACGGUGUAGCAGUGAAAUGCGUAGAGAUCGUAAGGAAGACCAGUGGCGAAGGCGAGUUUCUGGACGGUAACUGGCGCUGAGGCACGAAGGCCAGGGGAGCAAACGGG
rnacentral:rRNA from 1 species